AGUGAUUUUCAGUAUUGAAACUACAUUUCUCAACACUACUUGAAAGUAGGCUCUAAUUUGACGGCACCCUAAAUAGGUUAACUUUGAGGGGUACUUUAAUGAAUAUUUACGUCGAAAAAAAAAACAAAUUGAAAGGCAUAAAAUGAAAUUGGAAUCCCUUUUUUCACUUUUCUCAUUAAAAUGGAGAAAUAAUGAGAAGACUUCAUCAGAGGCAUAGUUAAACAUCUG
rnacentral:lncRNA from 1 species